AGUGAACGCUGGCGGUAGGCCUAACACAUGCAAGUCGAACGGCAGCACAGGAGAGCUUGCUCUCUGGGUGGCGAGUGGCGGACGGGUGAGGAAUACAUCGGAAUCUACUCUGUCGUGGGGGAUAACGUAGGGAAACUUACGCUAAUACCGCAUACGACCUACGGGUGAAAGCAGGGGACCUUCGGGCCUUGCGCGAUUGAAUGAGCCGAUGUCGGAUUAGCUAGUUGGCGGGGUAAAGGCCCACCAAGGCGACGAUCCGUAGCUGGUCUGAGAGGAUGAUCAGACACACUGGAACUGAGACACGGUCCAGACUCCUACGGGAGGCAGCAGUGGGGAAUAUUGGACAAUGGGCGCAAGCCUGAUCCAGCCAUACCGCGUGGGUGAAGAAGGCCUUCGGGUUGUAAAGCCCUUUUGUUGGGAAAGAAAUCCAGCUGGCUAAUACCCGGUCGGGUUGACGGUACCCAAAGAAUAAGCACCGGCUAACUUCGUGCCAGCCGCCGCCGUAA
rnacentral:rRNA from 1 species